GUAUUGAAGUGUUAUAGCCUUUGGUAGAUGUGAUGUUUGAGACCGAGGAUUGCAACGGAUACCCUUCAGGGCUAUUCGUCUGAUCUCUGAUACGUUGCCUUGAUGCUGAAAGCUUGCUUAUGAUGUUAGGGUAUUACGGUCAAAAGGUUAGAACGAAUUACA
rnacentral:rRNA from 1 species